rnacentral:rRNA from 1 species
AUUGAACGCUGGCGGCAGGCCUAACACAUGCAAGUCGAACGGUAACAGGAAGAAGCUUGCUUCUUUGCUGACGAGUGGCGGACGGGUGAGUAAUGUCUAGGAAACUGCCUGAUGGAGGGGGAUAACUACUGGAAACGGUAGCUAAUACCGCAUAACGUCGCAAGACCAAAGAGGGGGACCUUCGGGCCUCUUGCCAUCGGAUGUGCCCGGAUGGGAUUAGCUAGUAGGUGGGGUAAAGGCUCACCUAGGCGACGAUCCCUAGCUGGUCUGAGAGGAUGAGCAGCCACACUGGAACUGAGACACGGUCCAGACUCCGACAGGAGGCAGCAGUGGGGAAUAGUGCACAAUGGGCGCAAGCCUGAUGCAGCCAUGCCGCGUGUAUGAAGAAGGCCUUCGGGUUGUAAAGUACUUUCAGCGGGGAGGAAGGGAGUAAAGUUAAUACCUUUGCUCAUUGACGUUACCCGCAGAAGAAGCACCGGCUAACUCCGUGCCAGCAGCCGCGGUAA